CAGGACUCGCAAGACUCCUACAACCCUGUGAACCUACUAUACGAACGUUGCUUCGGCGGGUGCGCCCCGGGGAUUCGUUCCCGCGGCGCGUCAGCCCGCCGGCAGCCUACAAAUUCUGUUUCUUUGCGUUGGCAUCUCGAGAAAAACAAGUAAGUUA
rnacentral:misc_RNA from 1 species